UACGUAGGGGGCAAGCGUUGUCCGGAAUCAUUGGGCGUAAAGCGCGUGUAGGCGGCCCGGUAAGUCCGCUGUGAAAGUCCAGGGCUCAACCCUGGAAUGCCGGUGGAUACUGUCGGGCUCGAGUCCGGAAGAGGCGAGUGGAAUUCCCGGUGUAGAGGUGAAAUUCGUAGAUAUCGGGAGGAACACCAGUGGCGAAGGCGGCGACCUGGACGGACAUUGACGCUGAGACGCGAAAGCGUGGGAGC
rnacentral:rRNA from 1 species